CCCAGAUGCUGCCAGUGGUUUGCGCCUAUCAAGAACGAUCCUUAAGGUGACCAAAGAUUAUCAGAGGGAUUUUCAGGCUGAACGGAUCGGGAAUCCAUUUAGACGACAGCUGAGAAGUGAUGCGAUACCAUCGUUUUCUCCCUUCACAACAACACGGAAAAUGUGGGACAUAAUCUGAUUCCACCAGCAUGUGUUUCCAACCCCAAGCUCUGCACAAGGUGAAGAACUCAGGUUAUCUGAAGACCUUCCAAAGGCCCUACUGAAAAAUACCCCAAAGUGGCGGCAUUUUGGGAGAUGUGCAGUACCAGCAAAUCUUCUGCAAGAGGUCCAAACAGUUGGUGGUUAAGGUCUACGAGCCCUACACCACUUCCAGCAGUCUUAUCCAGCUGGCCGUACACCGCAGGUGGGACAAGACCAUUUGCCACAACCACUCUGCUUCCACAGCCCACCAUGCCAAAUACCAUUGCCAGUGUACCGAAGCCGGUCUUUUCGAUCAAUCCUCAA